rnacentral:lncRNA from 1 species
CAUUCAUUACCUGAGGAUCUGUUUUAAACUAAACUUAGUUUGUUUUCUAAAAUUUUUUAAAGCACAGAACUGUUACACUUCGCAGACAACCUGUUGGCGGCUUGGGCCUGAGUAUAAAGGUAAGAACAUAUUUUUUUUCUAUUCCAACUUGUCCUUUUCAAUGAACAUUUACAGUGUAAAUCAUGGUAACUGCAGCUUUCUUCUGCUCUCUGUAUCUUUCAGGGAGGUGCUGAACACAAGGUCCCUGUCGUCAUAUCAAAAAUAUUCAAUGAUCAAUCAGCUGACCAAACAGGAAUGUUGUUCAUAGGAGAUGCAGUUAUACAGGUUAGUAUUUAAACUUUAAUAACUAAUUCUUUUAAAAAAUUAUAUUUUAAACUUCUUUUACUUGUUACCCUCAAAAUUCUUAAUUUGUUAUCUAUUCAGGUUAAUGGCAUUAAUGUAGAAAGUGCGACUCAUGAAGAAGUGGUAAGUAUAUUAUAUUUUAUAGUUUUUCUUCUAAGUAUGAAAAUUAUUUUAUGUUUUU